AAGACAGAGACAAGGUCCUAACGGGGAGUGUGUGAUGGUGAUGUCAUCAGGCAGGUAAAGGUGCAGAUCUCUGGGAGGCAGACCCCUUUGACCCCCCCCCGUCUUUCAUGACGCCUCUGCAAGGAAGCAUAAAAUCAUAAAACUGAAACUAAACUUCAAACUUCAGGUUACUGCUGAACGAUUCAGUCUUUCAGAGAGAAUAAAGACAUCAUGGCUGUGACUCUGAACAGUUUUAAAUGCUCCUUUUUCAAUCUAGACGGUUUACAUUUAUCCAACCAGUCUCUGGUGAUGAUUGUUGUGGUUCUGGCGGCAGCAUGGUACUGGUAUUACCACUGGCUAGGACAUUGAAGAGAAAAGCGGGAGUAAAACAAAAUGAGUCUUUUUGAAAUUCCUGCUAAAGCAUCGUUGGAUUCCUGACUCUGUAAUAAACACAAACAUGGCAGACA